rnacentral:lncRNA from 1 species
GCAGAAAACUAUGAGAAACACUUUGUGCAGGAGCAUUAUAGUACUUCUGUGGAUACUUUCCCUUUUGGCAACGCGGCUACAUAAAAGACAUGGGUGCGUUUUUGCAGGAGGUCCCCAAAAUGGUCCCAAAUAUCCUCCAAUCAGAGGACCGCCAUUCACAGGGCAUCCCCCUCCACGCCCUCUACCAGUUGGACGUCCUCCAAAGCGUCCGAGACUGUCAAGGCUGCGACGAAUAUGACAAACACGUGAGACAUAACAAGGAGCAGUUUCAUGUCGUGGCCACAGCAACAAUACAAUACAACGAUAUUGCUUCGAAAGAAGCCUGAAGCCAACGGAUGCGAAGAGUUCAUACUUAAAACAUCAACGAUGAAACAUUUUCGAUAUUUGUGAAAUACUAGCUGUUUACAGAGCGUUAGCGCACCUACGGCUAAUAUUUGUUCCGAUAACCCCAAAUAUAUGAAGAAAUAAAGUAAAAGUUUCGCGAAGGACAUUUAAAUAAAACGAGUAAAGCGUUGCGCAGUGCGCAUUCACUAACACAGCUAGUAAUGCACACGUGAUUUCAAGGAAAGGGUCUUAAAUUCAUCAUAUGCUAGGAUUGCACAUACACUGUUUCUUUAGGUGACACCAUGACGAAACUAUGAAUUAGUCUUCAUUGGUGUCAGGGAAACCCGCAAAAGGCGCUGUGUGUGUAAUACUGUAACACUUAUUGUCUUAAUAUAAUACCACAGCCUGUAAUAUGUAAUUCUUAUUUGCGACGGCACGACAUCUAAAGCGUUAAAUAAUCCAGUUACCCGAAAAGACACUUAGGUUCCUUCGAAAAGCCUACUCAAAGUGUCGUAAAUAACCAUAUUUCAUAUUAAGGGAGCAUCUAGUAGUGAAUGGGUGCCGGCGCUGUAAGCCAAUUUCUCAAGACAUUCAAUGAGUCCAUGUACUGCAAAAGUUCGUUUGCGGGGUCAUAAUAUUCUAGAAUACAAAAGCGUUCUUUCCAGAAGACAGUUUUACUCUUAGUAGCAUUGCGCUGAAGCAUGAGCGUGCGCAGCGUCCUCCAGUAAGGGGCGGCAAGAUCGUUGUCUACCUUAACGAGCGUUGUCUAUCUUUUCAUGUGGCCGUAUGCACGUAGGUAAGACGGGUCGGUGCUAAUAUUAGAUUGCUAGAGCAGAAGCGUUCUUUGCAGGGAAAUUCUUACUCGCAUUAUGCACAACAUAUUUUGCAGUGCGGCUGCGUGCCUGUAUUUUAUGAAACCAUAAUCAGGUUCACUAGAGAAAUCAUCCAAGCAUUUCACAUUAGACAGAUGGGUGAGCAGCGCAUUAGCUCUCCCUCCAUUGCCGUGCAUAAAAAUGAAUACUGUUUCUUGGAACGCUCAGGACCCCAGCAAUCUAAUUUGCGGUAGGUCACGGAGAAGCGAUUGG